GACGAACGCUGGCGGCGUGCUUAACACAUGCAAGUCGAACGGAAAGGCCCCUUUGGGGGUACUCGAGUGGCGAACGGGUGAGUAACACGUGAGUAACCUGCCCUUGACUUCGGGAUAACUUCAGGAAACUGGGGCUAAUACCGGAUAGGAAUCCUUGCUGCAUGGUGGGGGUUGGAAAGCUUCGGCGGUUUUGGAUGGACUCGCGGCUUAUCAGCUUGUUGGUGGGGUAGUGGCGUACCAAGGCUUUGACGGGUAGCCGGCCUGGGAGGGCGACCGGCAACAUUGGGACUGAGACACGGCCAAGGCUCCUACGGGAGGCAGAAGUGGCGAAGAUUGCACAUGGAGCGGAGGCCUGAUGCAGCUACGGCGAGUGCGGGAUAGCGACCUUCGGGUUGUAAACCGCUUUCAGCAGGGGCGGAGCUUGUGGUGACGGUACCUGCAGAAGAAGCACCGGCUAACUACGUG
rnacentral:rRNA from 1 species